AUGAAGGUUGAGCUCCGAUGGCCAACGGCCAUUUCCACCUUGUGGUCUACAACUCUUCAUCCCGACUGCAUGGAGGUUGGUCUCUCUCUUCAGCUGGAUUUAGGCCACCAUCUGAGCCCCCGGGGUACGUUUUGUCUGACCCUGGCGCCAUUCGAACGGUUCUUCUACAGCAUCAGGCGUUCACCUGGCUCCUAGGGCUUUUGUGCUGUAGGCCUAUAUUUCCAGCUACUUUUGGAAAAAAUCUCUCUGGAGGCUCAAUGAGCUUGUCACAUCAGCCUGCCCAGAGGGCAAAGUGCAACUGCAGCCAGCUCAUGCCUUCAAGAGAAGGACUGAAGAUCAUUGUGUGCCUAAACCAAAAUAUAGGAUCAACUCAGACAAGGUACCAGUUCUACCCGCGCCACGGUCACUUGAGGAUCUUAUCACCACCACACACACAAGACUACUGGUAACACUGAGCCUCCCUUUUUCCUUCCAACUUGAGUGGAAGCAGCCUGAGGCAUCAUCAGAAGCAGAUGCUGAUACCAUGCUUCUUGUAGAGCCUGCAGAACAGUGAGCCACAUAAACCUCUUUUCUUUAUAAAUUACCCAGUCUCUGGUAUUCCUUUAUAGCAACACAAAUGGACUAAGACAGUGACUAACCAAAAAAUAACCAGUUAGUUGAAACCCCAGACCUUCCCUGCUAGCCAAUUGAUUUGUUGCUCCGUUUGUUUCUCAGUAGGUACAGCAUCAAAGACCAACACUUGGGAUUGAUUUUGAUGAGACCCAGCACAGGCAAUAAUCAGGGAGCUUGAGACUCUGGAACCAGAAACUGGACACAAUAUUCUGAAUAAUAGAGUCCCAUCAUUGAAAACAACCUGAGUUUUUGUUUAGACCAGUGAGCCUCCAAUAAUUUGUACUGGUUAAAAUACAAAUUCCUAGGCUUUCUCCCAACCAACGAAUUCAGAAUUUCUUGGAGGUGGAAUGCAGAAGUCUGCAUUUUUUUUUGUUUGUUUAUCUUUUGUUUUUUAUUUUUCGAGAUGGAAUCUCGCUCUGUUGCCCAGGCUGGAGUGCAGUGGCGCAAUCUUGGCUGACUGCAACCUCUGCCUCCCAGGUUCAAGUGAUUCUCCUGCCUCAGCCUUCCGAGUAGCUGGGAUUACAGGCAUAUGCCACUGUGCCUGGCUAAUUUUGUAUUUUUAGUAGAGAUGGGGUUCUCCAUGUUGGUCAGGCUGGUCUCGAACUCCCGACCUCAGGUGAUCCACCCGCCUCAGCCUCCCAAAGUGCUGGGAUUACAGGCAUGAGCCACUGCACCCAGCCAGAAGUCUGUAUUUUUUUUUAACAGCUUCACAGGUUAUUCUGAGGCUCUACCAGGUCUGAAAAACACAGUGACCACAUUGAUCAGAUCUCCCACAGAAGAUGCAUCUGAAAGAACCAUGAGGCAAUGUCCUCU
ensembl:lncRNA PPP1R3B-DT PPP1R3B divergent transcript